UCCUCGGUAGUAUAGUGGUGAGUAUCCGCGUCAGACCCGGGAUCGCGUCAGACCCGGGUUCAAUUCCCGGCCGGGGAG